UACGUAGGGGGCAAGCGUUGUCCGGAUUUAUUGGGCGUAAAGAGCGUGUAGGCGGCCUGGAAGGUCAGCUGUGAAAACUCGAGGCUCAACCUCGAGACGUCGGUUGAAACCACCUGGCUAGAGUCCGGAAGAGGAGAGUGGAAUUCCCGGUGUAGCGGUGAAAUGCGUAGAUAUCCGGAGGAACACCGGUGGCGAAGGCGGCUUCCUGGACUGACACUGACGCUGAGGCGCGAAAGCUAGGGGAGCAAACGGG
rnacentral:rRNA from 1 species